ACAUCCGAUGGUGGUGGAAAGUUUUUCGGUCAGGGAUGGGCCCGCGGCCUAUCAGCUAGUUGGUGGGGUAAUGGCCUACCAAGGCGACGACGGGUAGCCGGCCUGAGAGGGCGACCGGCCACACUGGGACUGAGACACGGCCCAGACUCCUACGGGAGGCAGCAGUGGGGAAUAUUGCGCAAUGGGCGAAAGCCUGACGCAGCGACGCCGCGUGAGGGAUGAAGGCCUUCGGGUUGUAAACCUCUUUCAGCAGGGACGAAGCGAAAGUGACGGUACCUGCAGAAGAGGCACCGGCUAACUACGUG
rnacentral:rRNA from 1 species